GACGAACGCUGGCGGCGUGCUUAACACAUGCAAGUCGAACGGAAAGGCCCUGCUCUUGCGGGGUGCUCGAGUGGCGAACGGGUGCGUAACACGUGAGUAACCUGCCCUUGACUUUGGGAUAACUCCAGGAAACUGGGGCUCAUACCGGAUAGGAGCUCCUGCUGCAUGGUGUUGGUUGGAAAGUUUCGGCGGUUGGGGAUGGACUCGCGGCUUAUCAGCUUGUUGGUGGAGUAGUGGCUUACCAAGGCUUUGACGGGUAGCCGGCCUGAGAGGGUGACCGGCCACAAUGGGACUGAGAUACGGCGCAGACUCCUACGGGAGGCAGCAGUGGGGAGUAUUGCACAAUGGGCGGAAGCCUGAUGCAGCGACGCCGCGUGCGGGAUGACGGCCUUCGGGUUGUAAACCGCUUUCGCCUGUGACGAAGCGUGAGUGACGGUAAUGGGUAAAGAAGCACCGGCUAACUACGUG
rnacentral:rRNA from 1 species